rnacentral:ncRNA from 2 species
UUAAAUCUUCAGGGCGGGGUGUAAGUCCCCACCGGCGGUAAAGCCCGCGAGCCGUAAGGUUGAUUCGGUUAGAUUCCGAAGCCGACAGUUAAAGUCUGGAUGGAAGAAGAUAUUA